GCAAUAGAGGUGCGGAAAACAUCAGUAGCAUGUUUCAGACUGCCAAAAGUCAUUGACAGCACGCAAAAGGGUUUUUCGCCGAAAAUGAAUUGCCUUUUGGCGGGCAUUUAUUUGGGCAUGUCUGCGAACAGCGGCAUGACUGUCAUCAAAGUUUGAUGGAGUGCUAUUGU
rnacentral:ncRNA from 1 species